GCUGCCUAUACUGCAAGUCGAGCGGAUCUUCUCCUUCUGGAGAAGUUAGCGGCGGACGGGUGAUUAACACGUAAGCAACCUGCCCACAAGACCGGGAUAACAUUCGGAAACGAAUGCUAAGACCGGAUACGCAGCCUUGUCGCAUGACGGGGUUGGGAAACACGGCGCAAGCUGUGGCUUGUGGAUGGGCCUGCGGCGCAUUAGCUAGUUGGUGGGGUAAUGGCUCACCAAGGCGACGAUGCGUAGCCGACCUGAGAGGGUGAACGGCCACACUGGGACUGAGACACGGCCCAGACUCCUACGGGAGGCAGCAGUAGGGAAUCUUCCACAAUGGGCGAAAGCCUGAUGGAGCAACGCCGCGUGAGUGAGGAAGGCCUUCGGGUCGUAAAGCUCUGUUGCCAGGGAAGAAUAAGGGCUAGUUAACUGCUAGUCCGAUGACGGUACCUGAGAAGAAAGCCCCGGCUAACUACGUGCCAGCAGCCGCGGUAAUACGUAAGGGGCAAGCGUUGUCCGGAAUUAUUGAGCGUAAAGCGCGCGCAGGCGGCCUUUUAAGUCUGGUGUUUAAGUGCGGGGCUCAACCCCGUGACGCACUAGGAACUGGGAGGCUUGAGUGCAGAAGAAGAGAGCGGAAUUCCACGUGUAGCGGUGAAAUGCGUANAGAUGUGGAGGAACACCAGUGGCGAAAGCGGCUCUCUGGACUGUAACUGACGCUGAAGCGCGAAAGCGUGGGGGAGCAACAGGAUUAAAUACCCUGGUAAUCCACGCCGUAAACGAUGAUUGCUAGGUGUUGGGGGGAUCCCCCCCUCCGGUGCCAAAUUAACCCUUAAGCACUCGCCCGGGGGAUACAGGCCCCAGACUGAAACUCAAGGAAUGACGGGAACCCGCCCAACCGGGAAUUUGUGGUUUAAUCCAACCAACCCAAAAACCUUACCAGGUCUUGACUCCCCCUG
rnacentral:rRNA from 1 species